rnacentral:rRNA from 1 species
AGUGAACGCUGGCGGUAGGCCUAACACAUGCAAGUCGAACGGCAGCACAGUAAGAGCUUGCUCUUACGGGUGGCGAGUGGCGGACGGGUGAGGAAUACAUCGGAAUCUACUUUUUCGUGGGGGAUAACGUAGGGAAACUUACGCUAAUACCGCAUACGACCUACGGGUGAAAGCAGGGGAUCUUCGGACCUUGCGCGAUUGAAUGAGCCGAUGUCGGAUUAGCUAGUUGGCGGGGUAAAGGCCCACCAAGGCGACGAUCCGUAGCUGGUCUGAGAGGAUGAUCAGCCACACUGGAACUGAGACACGGUCCAUACUCCUACGGGAAGCAGCAGUGGGGAAUAUUGGACAAUGGGCGCAAGCCUGAUCCAGCCAUACCGCGUGGGUGAAGAAGGCCUUCGGGUUGUAAAGCCCUUUUGUUGGGAAAGAAAAGCAGCAGGUUAAUACCCCGCUGUUCUGACGGUACCCAAAGAAUAAGCACCGGCUAACCUCGUG